AGCAGCUGGUAGGUUGUAUCAAACUUGCUACAGUUCUUCGGUAGACUUUGACUGCCUCGCUUGCUUCUGGCUAUCCAGGAAUCCAGCCAGUCAGAACGCCAGGAUGCCAGGAUAAUGCUGGAUCCCCAACCAUCAUCUCAAACCAUUCAGAGUUUUCCACCUGGGACCACAGAGACUGGGCAAUGUGGCCCAGAGGAGUUUACUGGAGCAACACUCC